AGCAGGUUUAAUUAAGGAAAGAAAAUCAAUUUGGGAGGCAGAUUGAUUAUAUCAAUAAAAGGGUAGUAAAAGCAUGAAGCAAACAAUCGAGUCCAAAUACGAAAUAGGCUUAUUUUUGGAAAGGAUUCAGCAAGGUAAAACAUCACAGUAAAGGGAAGUAGUCGAUUAAUUUUAAACAGGAGAGUGAAAUUAGGGCUCGUAAAAGAAAAGCCUUUUUGCAAUCAAUCACAAGACCAAGGGAAUCAAGAUCAAGUAAGAAAGGAACAUGAUUCUGCACUUCACAAUAUAGAUAGCAGUGGAUGGACAAGCAUGCCGAGUUAAACAUGUUGAUAAAAGAAGCAACACAAACAUACAGUAGCAGUAGAGGUAAGCUAGCGUCCAGCAACAAGAAAAUAUUCGAAGCAUAGUAGUCAAAUAGGUCAAGUAGUCACAUGGAUCAACAGUGAAGAAGAACAAAGUAUCAGGUAGAAGAAAUCAAAAAUAAGUAAAGGUCUCAUAGUAGCAAUAAGUGAGAAACUUCUAAAAAUUUAGGGCUUUAACAGUAGUCGGGUUUUGAACGAUGGUAAGAACUCAAUACAAAACAAGUUAAAAGAGGAAGAGAGAAUCAGCAAUAAAGAACAAGCGCACAUUUAAAAAACAAUUUCAGAAGUCGGAUAAAACUAAAAAGGAAAUAGGGUUUUUAACAUGCUGACAUAGACAGAAGAAUGACAUGAGCAAAUCAUAGUCAAAUCAUAAACAUGUUAAAAUCAGAGAUCUUUUUGAAAAACAUAAAGAAAAACCCUAAUGAAUGGUCGUUUUUGCAAGAAAAGUUGAAGAACUUUCCAGAAACACUUAAAACAUUCAUGGAAACUACAUAUCUAAAGCAGAUCUGAAAGAAAAAUAAAAAAAAAUCCCAAAGAUUAGGGUUCCGAAGAACACAGAAAGGUGAGAAAGGCUUCGAAAAUUAACGAUCUAACAAGGAGAGUCAAGGAUAUGACUCGAGCGGCCAAGGCUGGCCGAAGAAAAGUCAGGAUGACCGGAGAAAGGCCAUGAACGAAAGUCAGGCAAAAACUGGACCAACUUCCUUUGAGAUCUGGCCACAUAACCAUAGAAGCGAACACCCAGGAGCCACAUGAGGCCAUUACAUAUCUCUGAUAGCCAUAGGAGGCCAUGGAUUAGGGUGGGAUUGGAAGGUGGAGGCUAGGGUUCAUUAGGCUUCAGAAAGAGUUGAGAGAGAAGAGGAGUUCAAGGGCGGCGUUUGGUGAAUAAUGGAGUAGGGCAAGAGGUCGUUUGGAAUUACAAAGGAAAGAAGAGGUUUGGGCCGUUGAUCAAAAU
rnacentral:lncRNA from 1 species